ensembl:lncRNA
CUUUUACUCAGGGUUCUAUUAGUCCGCUAAAUUACGCAUCAGUUUUGCAUUGCCAGAGGUUACCAAUACCAGUGCAUAAUAGGUAUUCAAAGGAAAAGUGAGGAGCAAAUGAAGAAAGCUAAGUAAACUUUACAUAGUUGAUUUCAGCUCAUUGGCUGGUCCAAACUUGGAUGAUCAGAUGAAAGUCCAGCUGAUAGAUAGAUCUCAUUUCAACCUGGAAAAUAACAAAAAAGGCAGUUAGAGGUGGCAGAACACCUUGGAAAACUUACAAAACUGCUACAAAAACCCCCAGUUUGAAAACCACUGCAUUAUAACAUGUUUGGCAUGUAUUCCCUUCAAAGGUGCGUGCUUGGCAGGGUCAGGAGGUUGAGGCAGUCCAGGUGUGGGUUCAGCGAUCCAUGUGCUCCUGUGAGAGUUCAUGCUCAGUCUUUCAGAGGCUACCAGGGCUAAAACACCACUCCAGCCUUUGCUGUUUGUUGACUGUUUACA